GGUUCGAUCCUGGCUCAGAUUGAACGCUGGCGGAUGCCACACAUGCAAGUCGAACGGCAGCACGGACUUCGGUCUGGUGGCGAGUGGCGAACGGGUGAGUAAUGUAUCGGAACGUGCCUAGUAGCGGGGGAUAACUACGCGAAAGCGUAGCUAAUACCGCAUACGCCCUUCGGGGGAAAGCGGGGACCUUCGGGCCUCGCACUAUUAGAGCGGCCGAUAUCGGAUUAGCUAGUUGGUGGGGUAACGGCUCAAAUUGCGACGAUCCGUAGCUGGUUUGAGAGGACGACCAGCCACACUGGGACUGAGACACGGCCCAGACUCCUACGGGAGGCAGCAGUGGGGAAUUCUGAACAAUGGGGGAAACCCUGAUCCAGCCAUCCCGCGUGUGCGAUGAAGGCCUUCGGGUUGUAAAGCACUUUUGGCAGGAAAAACGGCACGGGAUAAUACCCUGCGCAACUGACGGUACCUGCAGAAUAAGCACCGGCUAACUACAAAGCCAGCAGCCGCGGUAAUACGUAGGCAAGCGUUAAUCGGAAUUACUGGGCGUAAAGCGUGCGCAGGCAUUCCGGAAAGGAAGAUGUGAAAUCCCAGAGCUUAACUUUGGAACUGCAUUUUUAACUACCGGAGAGGAGUGUGUCAGAGGGAGGUGGAAUUCGCGUGUAGCAGUGAAAUGCGUAGAUAUGCGGAGGAACACCGAUGGCGAAGGCAGCCUCCUGGGAUAACACUGACGCUCAUGCACGAAAGCGGGGAGCAAACAGGAUUAGAUACCCUGGUAGUCCACGCCCUAAACGAUGUCAACUAGCUGUUGGGGCCUUCGGGCCUUGGCAGCGCAGCUAACGCGCGAAGUUGACCGCCUGGGGAGUACGGUCGCAAGAUUAAAACUCAAAGGAAUUGACGGGGACCCGCACAAGCGUGGAUGAUGGAUUAAUUCGAUGCAACGCGAAAACCUUACCUACCCUUGACAUGUCUGGAAUCCCGAAGAGAUUUGGGAGUGCCUGCAAGAGAACCGGAACACAGGUGCUGCAUGGUCGCCACGUCAGCUCGUGUCGUGAGAUGUUGGGUUAAGUCCCGCAACGAGCGCAACCCUUGUCAUUAGUUGCUACGAAAGGGGGCACUCUAAUGAGACUGCUGGCAGACAAACUGGAGGAAGGUGGGGAUGACGUCAAGUCCUCAUGGCCCUUAUGGGUAGGGCUUCACACGUCAUACAAUGGUCGGGACAGAGGGUCGCCAACCCGCGAGGGGAGCCAACCCCAGAAACCCGAUCGUAGUCCGGAUCGCAGUCUGCAACUCGACUGCGUGGUAAGCCGGAAUCGCUAGUAAUCGCGGAUCAGCAUGUCGCGGUGAAUACGUUCCCGGGUCUUGUACACACCGCCCGUCACACCAUGGGAGUGGGUUUUACCAGAAGUAGUUAGCCUAACCGUAAGGAGGGCGAUUACCACGGUAGGAUUCAUGACUGGGGUGAAGUCGUAACAAGGUAG
rnacentral:rRNA from 1 species